AGGCAGUAGGACUCUUCAGUUAGAAUUCUGAACAGUAACGUGUCUUCUUCUCUCCUUUUUUUAAACAUUAUUAUGAUUUGUUUAGUUCUUCUUCCUCUUUUUGUUUUUCUCUCUAGCUUUUAUUAUUGGGCCUUAAUGACACUGACACGGACCGCCAUCAGGUAAUGACACAGAGCUACGCAGCCUCCCUCAUACUGUGUAAUAACAGGAUGAUGACGCUGACCAUCAUUUGUCUGUUUCCUCAGGUGCUAAGGCGCUCAGGUGGAGAGUGAGGAAGAAACACACAACAUGUUUUUGUUUUUUAAUGCUUUUUUUUUAUAGAUGGUUCACAAACCUUAUGGCUUUUUUUGAUAAACAUGCAGUUUUAACCUGGGAUGCAGAACAUAACAAAACCAUGACUUGGAAAAGUGAACAAAUCCCAGAGACAUAUAAAGAGAGGUAUAUCAGUGUUUUUUAAUAGAAAGGAAGUCUCGCCUACAGUUUCUGCAAGUGGAACAAUUAGCCAAACUCUAACGUGAGUUCUAAAAAGCAUAAACAUUGUGGCUGCAACACUGAAGCGGGUCAAUAAGGACAACAUUGAUUGAGACAGUGCCUCAGAUGAAUUUAUAACCACACAACGAAAGAGUGCAAUCGGAGAGGAGGGAGAAAGAGGAGGAGAAGAAGAAGAAGGGGGAAAGAUGGGGAGGUGGAAAGAAAGCAGAUGGCCUUUCUAACACAGACUAGCCAAGUCCUGGGCACUGGACAUUCCCGGAAAGCUCAGCGCAUGAAGGUCUCCAUGGAAACGUCUGUCACGGCCACAUUGAAAGGGUAAGAAGUGAACGCUCUUAGUAGGUUCCGCAGUAGAGACACCAGAGGACUGAGGGGACGGGAGGAGUCUAGACGGUGGAAGACAACAAAGACUCUUCAGUAUGUUCCAGAGAGGAGGUCACCCAUGAACAACAACCAUGGAGGGGAACAUGAUUACAACAGCGGGGACCGGAACCGGAGCUCACUCUGUAACCAUGGUAACAGGUCCCACUGGCACCCCGGACCUCCAGGUUCUGACCCACAGAGUGAAGCUUCUAGAGCACAGCCUGAGAGACAACGUCAGCUCCUUCACUGAGUCUGAGAGCGCUCUGCACAGCAGGAUUAGAGAGUUGGAGGUGUCAGAACAGAGCCUGCUACAGAAGGUGGAGGACCUUACUUCCAACUCAGUCCUCCACUGCCCCAGCAUGCUGCAGCGCCAGAGGCUGGAUGAGCGGCUCCACACGCUGAGGGAGGAGGUACGCUCCAUGUCCCAGGAGAAGGAGCGUGGGGAUCGUGUGUGGAGGGAGAGGCUGCGGCGCUGCCAGGCCCAGCUCAGGGCUAAAGAAGAGGAGAUGGGCCGCCAGUCUCAGUACUUUGAGCACUUUAAGAGCCAGCUGCACCACAAGCUAGGCCUGGCCAGAGACAGAGAGCAGGGCCUGCAGACCAGACUCCACCAGCUGGAGCGACCGGUGCUGGAGAUGAACGUAUCUGCUGCCACCUACAUAGCCCCUGUCAACACAGCUAGCACCAACUCCGUUACUGCAGACAAUGUCAAGUCCGUCAUGGUACCAACCUCAGGCCAACAGAGAACAGAGACAAAGAGACUGCCCCACCCAAGGGAGGAAGGAGAAGGAGAGGAGGAGGACGGUGAGGAGAAGACACAGCGGAGACACUACGGACAACAGCUCCAGCAGAAGCAGGGAGCGGAUGAUAGAGAAAUAGAGGGAGAAAGAGAGGGGGAGGAAGGGGAAGAUGGUGAGAGUCUGGGGGGUGAGGCUAGACUGAGAAGCUUCAUCCUCAGCCUCCAGGAGGACCUCAGGGUUCUGCUGGAGAGGGAGGAGCAGGGGCUGGCGGAGCAGAGGGGGCUGAUGGAACAGUUGGAGGAAGCGCAGGAGAACAACCACUUCUUGUCCUGUACGUUGGAGGAGAUGAAGACGGUGGUCCACAGACUGAAGCUGACAGAGAGCUCCCUGAUGGAGGAGGUGGAGGAGCUGCAAGAGGAGAACCAGAGACUGUGUCAGAGGCUCAGCCACACUCUGAGACAGACCAACCACAGCCUGGGUUCUACUGACCCCAGCCCUGUCUCUACACCCAGCCUGGCUACCUCCCUGCCAAACACCCCUGACCUGGGUCAACCAGUUCCCUGCUCUGUGAACAACACUAACCCGGUGAAGAUGAUCCCAGGCCAGGCUUCACUAGACACACACCCCUCUGCUCAACACCAUGGAGCAACAGAGAGGUCGCAGGAAAACUCCACUCUGCCUCUGCCCCAGCCGGACCUCCUGAACCUCUCAGGCCACCGUAGCCAGAACCCCGGCCUCAUAUCCCUGGGUACUAAGAGCGUUGAGGGUCUGGGGGAGUUGACCCUGAGGGACUGGUGUCCUGGUCCUGGGGGCUUCCCCUCUCUCAACCUGGAGGAGGGGACAAGCGAGGAGACUGAGGCCCUGAAAGAGGCUUACAGGAGCAUGGGGGGCGACAUGGACUCACUCCGGGACCACAGGGACCAGCUGGAGAGCACUCUACGACACACACAGGACCAGCUGCACAGGGUGACCGAGGAGAACGCCCGACUGAAAUGUAAACUCAGGGCGCAGGGAGAAACAGGGGCCUACGAGGUGGAGCAGGGGUCCUCGCUUGUAGGCGAGAGCAUGACAAAUGUCCAGGAAAACAAGGUGUCAACUCCAAACCUCAUACCCCAGACUUGCAGAGAUCUCACUGCAACUCCAUAUCAGAAUGAUACUAUCCUAGCCUUAGCCCAGGAUGACCUGUCCCUGUAUGCCUUAGCCCAAGAUGACCUAGCCCUAGCCUUGAACCAGGAGAACCGGGCCCUGGGCAGGCGUAUCCAGGAGCUCCUAGCCCACAUAGAGAGCCAGGAGGGGGAGAGUGAGAGGGAGCUAGUCCAGCUCAGGCUGCAAGUGUCCCUGCUAGAGAGGGAGAGCACCAGGCUGGAGCAGGAGAACGUGGAGCAGGGAGGUCUCAUCACUGAGCUGACCAAGAAGACUGAGGAUGACCUCAACACUAUCAUAGAGCUGCAGGAAAGACGGGUCGAGAGCGGUCAGCUAGGCCUACAGCAGGGUGACAGUGGUUUGACCACUGAGUCAGAGUCAGAGUGCGGUCAACAGGGUGAGCAUGCGGUCGGCUCAGUGCACGCUCAACAGGGUCAACCCACAGUAGGGGUUGUGACCAGUUUACAAGGUGAUCAGACGCCAGGGUCAGUGAAUAGUGGUGUACCACAGGUUGACCACACGGUUGAGUCAGUGUGUAGUCAGCAGGAGGACCGUUUGACCACGGAGUCAACGUGCAGGCUUAGAGAGAAGAGGGACGAGCUGAUUGGCUAUCUCAGUGAUCUCAAAGAGGAAAGAGAACAGGUAGCCCUCUCACUUAGCAGUCAGACAGAGGAGAAACACCAGCUAACACGCUCCAUGUGGGUUCUGAAAGAAGAACGCGACCAGAUCCAUAAGUCACUCUGCGGUUUAAAAGAGGAGAGAGACCAGCUGACAAGGUCCCUCUGUGGUCUGAAAGAUGAGAGAGACAAGGUGACGCGGUCAAUGUGUGGUUUAAAAGAGGAGAGAGACCAGCUAGUUCAGUCAAUGUUUGGACUCCAGGAGGAGAGAGACCAGCCAGUUCAGUCAAUGUCUGGACUCCAGGAGGAGAGAGACCAGCUAGUUCAGUCAAUGUCUGGACUCCAGGAGGAGAGAGACCAGCUAGUUCAGUCAAUGUCUGGACUCCAGGAGGAGAGAGCCCAGCUAGUUCAGUCAAUGUCUGACUCCAGGAGGAGAGAGACCAGCUAGUUCAGUCAAUGUCUAGACUCCCAGGGAGGAGA
ensembl:lncRNA